AGUAACGCGUGAGUAACCUGCCUUACACAAGGGGAUAGCCGUUGGAAACGACGAAUAAUACCCUAUGAAACUAUCACUUCGCAUGAAGCGAUAGCCAAAGUGUUUUAGCGGUGUAAGAUGGACUUGCGUCUGAUUAGCUAGUUGGUGAGAUAACAGCCCACCAAGGCAACGAUCAGUAGCCGGCUUGAGAGAGUGUACGGCCACAUUGGGACUGAGACACGGCCCAG
rnacentral:rRNA from 1 species